rnacentral:lncRNA from 1 species
UUAAAGAGGUAAAGUUAAAGGCUGUCAUUCUGUCUCUUCACACUAAGAACAAAAGCAAGUGAUUGUGAAGUGUUUCAGUGGGUUGAACCUUAAGGUAGAGCUUGCCUUUCCUAGCAUUAUAAGGAACACUUUCCCUAGUUGCUAUGGAAACAAAUAAGAAUUGUUGAAAGUUAUGAUGUAGAUUGUGAUACAGAUCUGCUGUGAAAGAUAGAUGUUGCAAACUAAGUCUCUUAAUGCUACCACAAUAAUGAUUUCAAGAAGAAAUAUUUACUGUACACUUGUGUGUGUGACAAAACAAGUAUAUAUGGAGUCCUCUACCACAUGUGAUUCUUGAAUAUUUGAAUAAGAUGAACUUCCAGCAUUCAGGAAAGAACACUGUGAGGACGUGAGGUUGAGUUUCAUUAUAAGCUUAAGUUCACUUAACAACCCUUGAUAGAACAUUUCUAAAUGCAU